GUCCCACCAAUCACCAUCGCUGCUCAUUCUGAACCAAACCCUCCAUACCCACCAGGGUUGCCUGUCUUCCUUUUUGUCUGAUGUCAUCCUGGGACACAGCUGGGACGCGCUGAUGUCACAAGGUGGAAGAUGAAAAGGCGCAGUCUAACACAAGGGAAAUUAUCCAACUGCCUCUUCAUUCUUCAUCCACACUCCUCCUUUGGCUCUGCCUUAGGUGGCUCAUCUUGCCAGACUUCACACUGAACAACUGCCAAGGAUGUUGCAAUGCAUGAGCUGUAUGCAGUGUGUUGAGGUAUCCAGGAAUGACAGCCUUUCCAAUAGUCACAAAUAGUAUAAAAUACCUCAGUGUGACUCUAACCAAGUGAAAGAUCUGUAUGACAAGAACUUCAAGUCUCUGAAGAAAGACUUUGAAGAAGAUCUCAGUAGAUGGAAAGAUCUCCCAUGUUCAUGGAUUGUCAGGAUUAAUAUAGUAAAAAUGGCCAUCUCGACAAAAGCAAUAUACAGAUUUCAUGCAAUCCCCAUCAAAAUUCCAAAUCAAUUCUUCACAAAGUGAGAAAGAGCAAUUUGCAAGUUCAUUUGGAAUAACAAAAAACCCAGGAUAGCGAAAACUAUUCUCAGCAAUAAAAAGAACUUUUGGGGGAAUCACAAUCCCUAACCUCAAGCUGUAUUACAGAGCAAUAGUGAUAAAAACUGCAUGGUAUUGGUACAGAGACAGGCAGGUAGAUCAGUGGAAUGGAACUGAAGACCCAGAAAUGAACCCACACACCUAUGGUCACUUGAUCUUUGACAAAGGAGCCAAAACCAUCCACUGGAAAAAGAUAGUAUUUUCAACAAAUGGUGCUGGUUCAACUGGAGGGCAACAUGUAGAAGAAUGCAAAUUGAUCCAUUCUUAUCUCCUUAUACAAAGCUCAUGUCCAAGUGGAUCAAUGACCUCCACAUUAAAGCUGUAUACACUAAAACUAAUAGAAGAAAAAGUGGGGGAAGAACCUUGAACACAUGGGCACAGGAGAAAAUUUCCUGAACAGAACACCAAUGGUUUAUGCUCCAAGAUCAAGAAUUCACAAAUGGGACCUCAUAAAACUGCAAAGCUUCUGUAAGGCAAAGGACACUGUGGUUAGGACAAAAUGGCAACCAACAAAUUGGAAAAAGAUCU
ensembl:lncRNA